GGUGACACGCCCCCUGAGGGGGCUGCUCUUAGACCUCACUCAUGUGGAUGACAGCUGGACUUCGGAGACAGUAAACAAUGAAGAGGGAGGGAACCACCAGCAGCUUUUCCCAGCCUGAAGGAAGAGAGGAGGAAGAGCAUCCCAGAGAGGAGAUGGAGGAGGAAGAGUUCAGAGAGAGAGAGAAAUGAAGUUCUUUGCGUGCAGUGUCCAGCUAAGAUAAUUCCUUCCACAACCUGCACCAGUAUCAAAUACUACAGGACUGGAAUAGAUAAACAUUCUUUCUCAAACUGAGCUAGAAUGGCAUUUCUUCGGACUCCUCGCUCUCGUCUGGCUCAUUCCCAUGAGAAAGUCUCAGCCUACACCUCUGACACCAUAAAACGGCCACAGACGAAAUCACCAACAUCAGAGGCUCUGUGUGUGUGAGUGAGAUCAGUCUGAUGUUUUUUUCCCAUUAACAGUGAUACUCUUUGUGAUGCUUUGGGAAAGUUUUUGGUUUGUGUAAGAAGACGGAACAUUAGAAUGAGGUUUAGGUGAAAGACUGGGGUCAGAAAUGGACCUGUAAUGACUCAACAAGGGUUCAAUAUGCUGGAAAUGAAAGACUUUGAUGGGCCUUUGUUGUCCGAAUAUGAUGAAUCUUAGAAUGGGAAAAAUAAUGCAAGCUUUGGUACAGUUGAUCUACUUAGUUGUUUACACAAAAAGUAAUGGAAGUAGUUGUGUGAAGAAUGAAGAAGACAAUAGAAGAGCUUGGGAGAGAUGUUCGGAUCUUCCCCAUGUUCCCACUUCUGUAUUAUUAUUAAGGGCUUUAUUGUUGGAUUUUUAGUCAAUAUGACAAGAUCAUCUCAAAAAUUAAGGAGCUCAGUGUUAGCUCAAUAGAAGCUGAUUUCUGCUGUAGGAUGAUGAUCAAACAUCCAAGUGAAUCUAUUAAUGAAUGACGGUUAGGGUUACGGUUAGGGCUUGUUAGAAAAGAAUAGAAUAAAAUGACCUCAAGAGAGCUGUUUACACCAAACAUUUACACCAACCGUUCCUCAAAUAUGGCGUAAUUGAAGAUUUACCGUUUAAACAAAAGGUCCAAAAUUGUUCCUGAACAAAGGAGUCUCUGUCACAAGAGGUCAGCCACUUAUUAAAUCUAAUGGUUAACUUGCUUUUUCCCGCACCACUAGAAAUGUUUGAGUGUUCCCAAUAAAGAAGCUAUUAGCUUAAGCACACUGUGCUUGUUUGUGCAUGUGACUUAGAUGAAGGUCAGAUGACAUUUUAAGAUCAAUAAUAAUAGAUUAUUUCUGAUAGCUUACAUACAAAAUUUCCAAAACUGUAGAAAUGUUUAUUGCCAUUGUCUGAAUUUUAGAAAAAUAUUAGUCAUGUUUAAUGUAAUUCAGGUUGAAAUCCUGUGAGUAAGACGUACAGACACACAGGUGGCUCAUUGUUGUAGAAACUGUGGUGUCAGAACGAGUUGCCAAGCAACAUAUUUGCCUUUUUUUUCUACGGGUGGAGGCUCAAUUUGACACCAAGAGGAAGUUUUGUUUGCAGAACGGUUUCCUGAGCUACUAAGUAACCUGAGUGAGAGGUGGCUGCUACACCUGCUCAUCGGUGACCUCUGGCCAAAAUGUGUUGGUGUGUUGAAGCUGGCUGACCUUAAUGACAACUUACUAACAGUGACUCAGUGAAUUCUUUGAAUUUUGACGUGCCCACUGUUGAUUCUGGACACUGAGUCAGCUCACUGUCUGGAGCUAUCACCUGACUUUGAACUGUGUGAAAUGUGUGACCAUGACUGGUCAAAUACACCUCCUGACAACUUCAUAAAAAACUGUCAGAGUUGAAGGUUCAGUAAUGUGCAACAGCUCAAAGGAAUAAUUCAACAUGUUGACAAAUCCACAUAUUGACUUUUUUCCUAAGAGUCAGAUGAGCCUAUUAAACUGGAGCUGUCACAGUGUUAGCUUAGCUUAGCAUAAAGCAUUUCUAAUUCUGUGCCACAUUUUUCGCCAAACAUGAAAAAAAAUCUUUGCUGGCUAAAGGAUAAACUGUAAUUAGAGUGUGUCAAACUACAAUUCCAAAAAUGUUAAGAGGCCGGGGGCCAGUUAUAAACGAUAAGAUAAAGAAAUAUUAAAAGACCCAAACCUCAUCUUUCUCUAGAAUUACUGCUUUCAAAUUAACUAAGUGACAGCCAAGAGAAACUAUUGAACAUUUAAUAUGUGAACAAAGAAAAAAAAUCCCAUUGUGGAUCAAUUUAUUUAAUUUUGAAGUAGAAAAUAAACCAGCUGGCUCCUAUAAAUUGAGUAUAUCAGGGCUUGACCAACUGUUUCAGUAGUCUUGCAAUAGAAUGAUGUUGAUCCCAUUUGACUCCCAGAAAUAAAAUAAAUAUAACUAAUUUACAAAAUGUGGAUAAUCUUUGAUACAUCAGGAAGCAAAGCAAUAUCCUGUGAGUCAAUAGAAAACCUCAUCAUGACCUCAUUAAUUAAAACCAUUGAAACUUGUUCCUUGGAAGUCGAUGUCAAGCUUCGCAUGCAAAUGGAAUUUACUGAAAUUUGAUAAAUUUGUUUUCCCACAGUGUCAUCCUGCUUUGUCUGAGAUCCUGAUUGUAAGAAAAUUCAGUCACAGCCAGCUGACAUUUUAUCAGAAGUCGUGGCAAAGACCUGACAUUCAGGCAGCUACUAAUUCUUCUGAUAAUGUGAUGAGAACCGAAGCAUACUCAGGCUCACAGCUGACUGGGUCAGCAGGGUUUACUGUGGCCAGUUCUUCCACCAUUGGCUCACCAGUCUCUCCAGUUGUGCUGUUGUUGGCACUUUGCGGUGGGUGUGUGGUCAUGGCUGCGUAUGGCCUGAUACUCCCUGACUGGAGGGGCUCUGAGUACAGCAGUGGGCAGCUCAGAACCAGGCAGAGAUCCAGCUGUGUAGGAGCUGGACGUCAGAAACAGCCUCCGAGUUGCCCUGACCUUCUUCUCCCCUUUGCUUUUCAGAGAAUAGAUGAGCUUUAAGUGUGGAAAAUAAAUAUUUAUUAUGGAAACAAGGUAAGAAGGCAGAAAUCCAUAAAUGGGCCUUUUUAGUGAUUGACUCAUUUCCUCUGCUACCCUCUAAAGCAUCUCUUCAUAUAAUCAGUGCAGUUGUUCUAUUUGUUGUUGUUGUUGUUUGUUAAACCAAAAUUAGUCAGCUUGAGUCAGACAUUUGUAACUGAUAGCUUUCAUGUUUAUUUGGGCUCAUUCUUGCUGUUUAGAGCGCAAAGAAUUGUUUUAACCCAACAACACAGUAAAGUUAUUUUAAGCAGAAACUCAGACAAAAUUCAAUUUUAUUACCUGAUCAACUGAAGUUAUUAUAAAACUGAGAGAGGAGCUUCUAGAAAUGCAUCAGUCUUUACAAGGUUUGACAAACAAGAGCCACAGAAGAUUUUUUAUUAUUUUAUUUUCACACAGCAUAGCAGAUAAAAGUAAUAACUCACAUAUUGAUUUAUCUGCUAUGUUGUUUGAAUGAAAAAAUAAAUCAAAUUGACUAAACAAUCUCAGUUUAUUUUAGAAGCUUUUAAUUAUAUCGCAUGAUCUUUGUCAGCAGUUGGCAUAUGCUCAGUUGGCUCGAAAAAGUUAAAAAAAACUUCUCCAAUAUACUGGGCUUACAUGUUCAGUUCAUUCUUCUUAUAAUUAUUUUCAAGUGUUAUUAUGGCACGUCUUUUUGGUCCUUUUUUGCUGUUUGAUUCGUAUGAACACAGUAAUAUUCACAUGUUAUUCCAAUGCACAAGGCAAAAUUGUAUAUAAAUUUCCAUUAGUGACAUUUAUGAGUCUGCUUCCAAUCAGUAUAUUCUGUCACAGUCAUUUUUUGAGUAUUUUCUGUCAUUGACAUUUUGAAAUGCAUGUUCCGGCUGCGCAGCAUUAGAACACAGAGUGAUGGUUGCUGGAAAUGUUCCUCUGUACCCCUAUGGAGAUAUUCCAUUAAAAAUCAGCUGUUUCCAGCUAGAAUAGUCAUUUACCACAUUAACAAUAUCUCAGCUGUAUUUAUGAUUAAUGUAAUGUUAUCUUCAAUGAAAAAAACUCCUUUUCUUUCAAAAAUAAGGACAUUUCUAAGUGACCCCAAACUUCUGAACUGAAGUAUAUAUAUCUACCUGGCAUUUUGAAAUGCAUGGUACUAUAGAUAAAUAUGCCAAAUGUUUCUAUCUAAGUUUAGAUGGUGUUACAUACGACGAGAGCCUAAAGCACGUCAUACCUCCAAACACAUUCGUGACCUCAAGAUAUUGCUGCAUAGAUUACAUACACUUAGAAACAUACACAUACACAGUAUGUACGCUGGAAAAAACAUGUUUAAUUAAGACCUAAUAAUGCCCUGUCAUCAAUAAAUCAGAUCCCCCUCAUCUUAUAGAAUUUAUUCAUUCAGUUAAUCAUCAUUUAGAUGAUUGACUGAUAACCUCUGUCACCUCCGUUCUACCGAAAGGUUAGAGAUGUUUCACCUUAAACCUCAGAUUAUGAACUGGAACUCAGAAAAUCUUUCUUGAAAGCAGGAAUAUUAGAUUUUUGAUGAUAUCUGAUGUUUUCCAACUCAUACAUGCGGACUGCUGAUACCAAUAUAUGUACAUGUUUUUCCACCUAAUUGCAGAGAUCAUCUAGUGUUUCUCCAUUUGGUGAAUAACUCAUUUUAAAGCCUGUAUCAGUUCAUGUUAAUGAUGUCAAGAAGACUGUGCAUCCUAAUUUCACAGUCAUAAAAGACGCCUCGAUGACCCAAACAACAGCUGAGACCAUCGCUCUCCCCUUGGCUAUAAUGUGGUGUAACAGCACUGCUCCCACACACACACCAAGACAAAAGGAAACAAAUAUGACCCCGUAACAGUGGUGUCAAGUGUUGACGUCGCACCAAUAGGAGCUGAGGGAAGCUGUGGAAAAUUGCCCGGCCUCACAUGCGCACAAAUACACAAGGACCAGGUGAUGGUGUAAAUAUAACCUCCUGUAAACAAACACAGUAUGUACUGGCAAAACAUAAACAUAUACGUGAAAGAAUGUGGCCUCUGACUGGACGUGUAUGUUGACUGGUUGUUUUAUGAUAGGGUAGUAAGAAUACAUACUUUGGGUUGUGAACCUUUCACACGUGAAUGCUGUUUUCUCACCCUUUGACGUCAUGACAUCGCCCACAUACACAAAAGGGACAGUGUGCAAGGGUACAAUGAUAAAUAAGACAAGGAGAUGUCAGGAAAGUGGAACAGGUUGCUUUAAUUUGAAAUUUAAUGUAAUCUGACAUGACAUUUGGUACAAAUAUUCUCCAGAAUCCCACUGACUGUUAUGACUCUACAUCUGGCACCAGCAGCAGGUUCACAUUUGUCAUUUUGUGGGAAAUAUCCAAACUGAUUCCCAUGGAAUUUUGUACAAGCAUUCAUUUUGUUUUUAGGAUGAAUUGCAAUCGAUUGUGUCAUCACAUGACUAAAAGUGAAAGUGAAAAGAAAAGAGAGAAGUCACCAUCUCAUGGGGGAUAACCACUCAUACUUCCACACAAUUCCUCCCAUAGUGGUGCAGUUGUUUGUAGCUGUGUCAAGAAUGAGAGAAGUUCAAGAGAAGAUUAAACCCUGACAUCUUUCUCUCCUCCACACAGCUGGUCCAUCAGGGGUCAAGUGGGUGUGAAUGAGUCAGAUUGGCAGUUUCGGAAAGCUGCAGAAAUGAACAGAUGCAGUUUCCCUGCAGCUUUUCAACAUGAAUUACUGAAGAGGCAGGCUGGCAGAUUAAGUGGAGCCUCACAGUUGCAUGGCUGUUGAGUCUAAUCUUAUAUUUCCUGUUUGCAGGAAUGAUACGCCAAUGAGAAAAACAACAUUUUCUUAUCAUUUUCUUAUGAGUUUUUCUGUCUGUCAGUCUAUGAUGCGAUCGCUACUCAAGAAACUGACUCAUAUUAUGGAGUUCAUUUUGGCCAAAACUGAUAAAGAAUAUUGUGUCUGACUCAUCCAGGGUAAUCCUCCACCUCUCUCAGCUUUUAUUAUCACAACAAAUCUUCAACAAAAACAUGUUUCUCAGAUCAAAUGUCUGGUAGAUUUUUUGUCCAAAUAAUCCUAUGUGAGAACUUGUUCCCUGAAAACAAAAGUCAGGUCCACGUUUGUCAUUCUAGCCGCUCACAUUCCUUGAAAAUACAGAGGACGUCUUACUUGGAAACGCACAGAGAGUCCAUGUGACCUCGGUGCUUUCAACUCUCGCCAGACUCUGACUCGGAUGCCAAAACCACUCAGCUGACAUCACAGUCCGCACUGUAAAUGCGGAGGGUGUUGGGAGGGUCAGCAACCAGCUCUGCUCAAAGUGUUUCCACUGCUCACCACUGUGAUGUCAUGAGACAUUUGAGGACCAUCCUUCAUGUGGUUCCUGACAACUGACAACAGUGGAUGGAUGCGUGGACGGCCGGGAUCGUGCGAGGUGACCUCUUCCCCGCCCGCCUCCUGCUCUUGAUCUGCAGGUCAGCGGCUGGUGUGGCGCUUGAGCCAACAUCGCAACAUGUGGCGAUGCGUGUACCAGCACCCUUUAAUCUGCGAGGCACGUGGCUCCAGGGUAACCAGCAACACAGAGCUGCUCGCGUUGUGUUGCUGCAACCAAUCUGGAAGCAAUGAUACAGACAGCUGCUUGGAGGAUCUUGUAAUGAAAACAUUUAGAUUUGCAACCUUACUGGAGUUUAUUUCCCUUCGUCGCAGGGCAUGCACGCAUGAAUUUACAUCUGGGUUGCAAAUGUAGGGCAAGUUUGUCUUAACCCUCAUGUUGUCCUGUGGGUCAAAAUUGACCCAUUUUAAAGUUUGAAAAUGUGGGAAGAAAAAUAUAUUUUCACAGUGAAACUUCUGACGUCCACAUUUUCAACAUUUU